rnacentral:rRNA from 1 species
AGAGCGAACGCUGGCGGCAGGCCUAACACAUGCAAGUCGAACGGACUCUUCGGAGUUAGUGGCGGACGGGUGAGUAACACGUGGGAACGUGCCUUUAGGUUCGGAAUAGCUCCUGGAAACGGGUGGUAAUACCGAAUGUGCCCUUCGGGGGAAAGAUUUAUCGCCUUUAGAGCGGCCCGCGUCUGAUUAGCUUGUUGGUGAGGUAAUGGCUCACCAAGGCUACGAUCAGUAGCUGGUCUGAGAGGAUGACCAGCCACAUUGGGACUGAGACACGGCCCAAACUCCUACGGGAGGCAGCAGUGGGGAAUCUUGCGCAAUGGGCGAAAGCCUGACGCAGCCAUGCCGCGUGUAUGAUGAAGGUCUUAGGAUUGUAAAAUACUUUCACCGGUGAAGAUAAUGACUGUAGCCGGAGAAGAAGCCCGGCUAACUUCGUGCCAGCAGCCGC